rnacentral:rRNA from 1 species
AUGGCGAUGGUGCUGGAUGCAUUCACAUCCUACGUGGGACACAUGCUCGCGCAGCUAGCAGCAGAUGGUGUGGGGACGGUGCUGGGCGUCUCCGGCGAGAUCGACAAGAUGGCCGACAAGCUCCGGGACCUCAAAAACUUCUUGGCUGAUGCUGACAGGAGGAACAUCACCGAUGAGACCGUUCAAGAGUGGGUGGGGCAGCUCAAGCGUGCCAUGUAUGAAGCUACCGACAUCCUCGACCUCUGUCAGCUCAAGGCCAUGGAGCGUGGAUCAUCUACUACUCUAGACGCAGGGUGUUUCAACCCCUUGCUCUUCUGCAUGCGCAAUCCCUCCCAUGCUCAUGAGAUCGGCACCCGCAUCAAAAAGCUCAACAAGAGGCUUGACUACAUCAAGGAGCGAAGUGCUGCUUUCAACUUCGUCAAUCUCGGGUCCUAUUUGGAUCAUAGCAGCAAUGUUCGCAUUUCUCAUCAUGGUAAUCCUAGCCGGGAGACGGUAGGGGACUUUGACCGGUCGGCUAUUGUUGGAGACAAGAUUGAAGAAGACACAAGAGCACUGGUGGCCCAAAUCAUGCAGACGGGAAAGGAUGUCAACAAUGGCAUCAUGGUGGUUGCUAUCGUAGGUGUUGGUGGGAUCGGCAAGACCACCCUCGCCCAGAAGGUCUUCAAUGACGAGGCAAUCCAACGCGGGUUCAGUAAAAAGAUAUGGUUGAGCGUCAACCAAAACUUCAAUGAGGUUGAGCUACUGAGAAGAGCCAUCAUCGGUGCCGGUGGAAACUCCCAGCUGGCCGGAAAUGCUAAGGACGCGCUUCACCGAGCCCUAAUGCAGGCCUUGAAGGACCAUAAGACAUUGCUUGUAAUGGAUGAUGUGUGGGACAAUGGAGCGUGGGAGGGUGUGCUCAAAAUACCCUUAGCCAAUGCUGCUGCUUCAGGCAGCCGUGUCCUCAUCACAACUAGAGAUGAACGUGUCGCCCAAGGGGUGACAGCUAUACGGCCCUACCACCACGUCGACACAUUAGUGCCCGAUGACGCCUGGUUAUUGCUCAAGAAGCAGGUAUGCUCAAGUGAGAUAGAUGAAGACCACAUCAGUACGCUAAAGGACAUCGGACUGAAAAUUGUACAAAAAUGUGGUUGUUUACCAAUUGCUGUUAAAGUGAUGGGAGGACUCUUGCGUGAAAGAGGGGGGCUACAUCGUGACUGGCAGCAGGUUUUGGAUGAUUCUAAAUGGGCAACAACUAAAAUGCCCAAUGAGCUCAACCACACAGUAUACUUAAGCUAUGAAUAUAUGCCUUCUUACCUGAAGCAGUGCUUUCUGUACUACUCUCUUCUUCCUAAAAGUAGAAUUUUUACUAAGGAUGAAGUUGUUGCAAUGUGGAUUAGUGAAGGGUUUAUUCAUGGAAAUUCUAAUGAUUUAGAAGAAUUGGGAGAAAAUUACUACAAGGAGUUGGUAUCUAGGAACCUGAUAGAGCCAGAUAAAUCAUAUGUUGAUCUAUGGGUUUGCAGCAUGCAUGAUGUUGUUCGCUCGUUUGCUCAGUAUAUGACUAAAGAUGAAGCACUCGUAACUCAAGAUGGAGACAAUGAUAUUCUUGCUAAACUUGGUUCACAAAAGUUUCUUCGGUUGUCCAUAGAAACUAACCGAUCACAAUCAGGUGAACUUGAUUGGAAAUCUCUACAGGGGCAGCAAUCAGUGAGAACAUUGAUCUCAACUGUCCAGAUUAAGAUGAAGCCUGGUGAUUCACUGGUUAUUUUUUCUAGUUUGCGGACUCUGCAUAUAGAAUCUGCAGAUGUGGCUUCAUUGGUUGAAUCGUUGCAUCAACUCAAGCACAUGAGGUAUCUUGCACUAGUAAAUGUUGAUAUAUCUGUUCUUCCAGGGAACAUUGGCAAGAUGAAACUGUUGCAAUUCCUUGACCUUGGUGGAUGUACAAAAUUGGUGAAUCUUCCUGAUAGCAUUGUGAAGCUUGACCAGCUGAGAUUACUUUCACUUCCCAUAGAAUGUAUGGUACCUAGAGGGUUUAGUGGUCUGACAAAUAUGAGGAGACUGUUGCAGUUUCGAGCCCACUUGGAUGGUGAUUGGUGCAGUUUGGACGAGUUGGGGCCUCUUUCCCAACUCAGAGUUCUUGUAUUAACUGAAUUAGAGAAUGUAUCUGCUGCCUCAUUUGCUGCUAAUGCUAGGCUCAGCGAGAAGAUGCAUCUUAUUAGUCUACUCCUGUAUUGCACCAGUAAACUGGGAGAUGAUGGGUUGGUCAAAGAGAAGGAAGGUGUCUCUGAGGAAGAGCAGCAACGAAUUGAGAAGGUUCUCGAUAAGCUCUGCCCUCCACCUGGUCUAGAAUAUCUUCAUAUCAAGGGGUAUUUUGGCCGGCAACUUCCGAGCUGGAUGAUGUCCACAUCAAUGGUGCCCCUCGACAACUUGAACACUUUAUUGAUUGAUGACCUGGCUUGUUGCACACAACUUCCCAAUGGGUUGUGCCAGCUGCCCAAUCUGCAGCUUCUACAGGUCCGUCGUGCUCCAUGCAUCAAACAUGUGGGGACUGGAUUCUUGCAGGUGGCAUCAGCUUCAUUUCCAAGCUACAUUGAGAGCUUCCCUUCUGUUGUUGAGCUUAUAGUGAAUGGAUGCCCUGACCUGGAGAGGAUCACCAAUCUCCCCAAUCUGCAGAAGCUUACCAUCAUGUACUGCCCAAAGUUGAAGGUGUUGGAGCGUAUCGCUUCACUCGAGAGGCUGGUCCUGAAGGAUUACACCAUGGAAAAACUCCCAGAAUACAUGAGAGACAUAAAGCCAAGGCAUUUGCAGUUAUUCUGUAGGCUAUGGCUGCUCUCUGCCGUAGUCGCGGGACAAUCUGGCACUGAGUGGGACAAGUUCAGUCAAGUGGAGCAUGUCAAGGCAUAUGCACGUGAUGGAGACAACGAAAGAAAAUGGUACGUUUUGUACACGAGAGGUGACAACUACAAGCUGGAUUCAAAUAUUAGCAGCUCUGCCAUAUUUGAAGGUACAGAAAAUCAAACAUACGUACAAGCUUUUUCUUGA